ACCAUUCCACUGAUUCUGCUCCAGCCAUUACCACGAGCACGUCCUCCCCAAUGAGGGUGCCACCAGCCUCCUGUGAUCUGAUCUCACAGUAGUAAGACGUGUCCUCUCUGCCGGCCCAUGAUGGAUGAACUAGGGCACUUAGAGGUUCUGCAUGUUUUUCUAGUUGAGCAUUAAGCGGCAGCGUGGACGGAAGAAGAACUACGUUUUUAUUAUUAUCAUUGAGCUUCUUCUCAUCUAAUCAGAGGUGAGGGGUGUGGUCAUCAUCCAAUGUUCUCAUCCAAUCCAACGUCAGUGUAACGUUCUGCUUCCAUUUCAAUCUAACAUGUAAAAGUUCUGUCACUUUUCUUGUUAUUAUGUGAGGUUCAGGGCCUGUGUCCAUAAAGAGUAUCAGAGUAGGAGUGCUGAUCUAGGAUCCGUUUUGCCUUUAGAUCAUAAUGAGUAAGAUUACAUGAACAGGGAGGACCUGAUCCCAGAUCAGCACGACUACUCUGAGACGCUUCAUGAAUACAGGCCCAGAUCCACUGUGGUAUUCAGAUAGAACUGGACGGACCGACCGACCGACAGAGCAGCAUGCUUUUAGAGCUCAACACCAGCAGAAACACUAUAGCUACAGUUGGAACAUACUGUAUCCAUAGUAUUCAUGUAUAGAUCUAGAAUUUUUGAAUAAUGAAUACGAUAUAAAGAAGACAUGAUGACAUUUAUAAUCAUGAGAUGGAGGAAGAGGUAUUUGAAAUGCGUACGAGGUCCUCAGAUUUUAGGUUGUGUUCCAAAUGGCACCCUAUUUCCUAUAUAGUACUGGUCAAAAGUAGUGCACUAUAUAGGGAACAGGUUUACCAUUUGGGACGCACAAUGUCUCCGAGCUUUCUGUCUGAUUUUAGUUAGUUUGUUUUGGGGUGUAACUGUUCACAUCACCAGAGACCGGCUCCUUGACUGUUGGUCUAUCAUAUCCUUAUCCAGGGGCUAACUUCUCUUUUCCAACAAGUUAGUUCUUUUAUUUUCCGAAGCAGCACACAACAAGUUGAAUUUAUGGAUCAUAUUCAGUCUGCAGCACUGUACAUCGUUCAUAGUUGAAUCUAUGGAUCAUAUUCAGUCUGCAGCACUGUACAUCGUUUUUAAACUGUUUCAGUUGUUAGUAUUGUUUUGGUUGGUCAUCAUGAGUCACUGCUAGCCAGCCCAGUGAAGUGAAGGUUACAGUGUGUCAUCAGACCAGACUGAGACCCAUGUCUACUAGCUACUUCUCUCAGACACACACACACACACACACACACACACACACACACACAGAACAUCUCAGUAACAGACGUAUCCCCUGACACAGCAGGCUGCAGGUAAUAGUUCUCCUUCAUUCUCUGGAAAUGUGCCUGAGAUUUUGGCCUGCACCUCGACUAUGUCCCAAAUGGCACCCUAAAGUUGUGCACUAUGUAGGGAAUAGGGUGCCAUUUUGGGACGCAUUUCUAAGUUAUGCUAGUUAUGCCACGUGUUCUUAGACAAUUGCACUCAAAUCUGGGGAAAGUAAUAAAAACAUAUUCUGUUCAACGGUGACAUGUAAUGACCGGAGAAGACUGAGACUAUGGAAGAGUUUCUCCUCUGAACUUCCUACACAACGAACGCGGUACACUAAGGUACGCGCUGAGAGAGCUGUCCAGUGUGUUGACUGUCUGUGCGUUAGUCAUAUUCAGCUCAUCACGUCAGUAUUUUUUCCACUGAGAGAAAUUAAAAAUGAUUUAAAACAUUUGUGAACUUUCUGCUGUGGAGACAUUAUACAAUACUUUGUUUUGGCAAAGGAAGGUCACGUCAAUAAAGCAUGUUGUUUUUAACCAAA